rnacentral:lncRNA from 1 species
UAGAAUACAAAGGCAAUUAAAAGCUCUCCCAGGCUCAAUCUAAGAAAAAAACUUUACUGUGCAUUUUCAUAUCAUCUUAUGGGUCUUUUUUUUCUUUAUGUCUUUCUUCUUAUAACUUAAGUGCAGCUUCAGAGACUCUAAGUGAGAACAAAGCCACUGAAUGUCCUCUGAAAGCACCAAGCCUUUCCUCCUCAGCAGAUGGGGCUGACCACUACACAACCAGACCAACUGGGAACAAGGGCCCAAAUGCACUUUCCUUGAAGUUAAUACUGAUUGCAUCCAGAAGAUCUGGGCCCCUCUAGAUUUGAUGCCCAGUUUGUAACAGUUCUAGUGGCCCCAUCUCACCAGUGUCACAGAGCAGAUGCAAUGACUGGGUGAGUGUCAUGCCUAACACCGUGGACAGUGGUUCCUGGUGGAGGAGGGGGAACAGUGGAAUUGAGGAGUGCCUGCAGCGCCAUGGCCCCAGUGACAGAUUGCUGUCCACUCAGCUUCCUCACCUACCAUCUCUUUUUCUCUCCUGAGCCUUUCACUUAUCAGGGCCCAACUCCACAACUUCUUCUUCCUCAUGAAUCCAAAACCCUUUGGAGCUUGUGUUGAUGAGUGUGCCCUCU